GAACGCAUGGCUUAGUAGCAGAGCACCUGGACGGUUGCCAGGAGGUGCGGGUUCGAGUCCCGCUGCGUUGA
rnacentral:tRNA from 1 species